rnacentral:rRNA from 1 species
GAUGAACGCUAGCUACAGGCUUAACACAUGCAAGUCGAGGGGAAACGAUAGAGAAAGCUUGCUUUUUCUAGGCGUCGACCGGCGCACGGGUGAGUAACGCGUAUCCAACCUGCCCAUCACUUGGGGAUAACCUUGCGAAAGUAAGACUAAUACCCAAUGACGUCCAUAGAAGACAUCUGAAAUGGAUUAAAGAUUUAUCGGUGAUGGAUGGGGAUGCGUCUGAUUAGCUUGUUGGCGGGGUAACGGCCCACCAAGGCGACGAUCAGUAGGGGUUCUACGAGGACGGUCCCCCACAUGGGAACUGAGACACGGUCCAAACUCCUACGGGAGGCAGCAGUGAGGAAUAUUGGUCAAUGGACGAGAGUCUGAACCAGCCAAGUAGCGUGCAGGAUGACGGCCCUAUGGGUUGUAAACUGCUUUUAUAAGGGAAUAAAGUGGGAGUCGUGACUCCUUUUGCAUGUACCUUAUGAAUAAGGACCGGCUAAUUCCGUGCCAGCAGCCGCGGUAA